rnacentral:rRNA from 1 species
UGCGGUGCAUUAGCUAGUUGGUAAGGUAACGGCUUACCAAGGCAAUGAUGCAUAGCCGAGUUGAGAGACUGAUCGGCCACAUUGGGACUGAGACACGGCCCAAACUCCUACGGGAGGCAGCAGUAGGGAAUCUUCCACAAUGGACGCAAGUCUGAUGGAGCAACGCCGCGUGAGUGAAGAAGGGUUUCGGCUCGUAAAGCUCUGUUGGUAGUGAAGAAAGAUAGAGGUAGUAACUGGCCUUUAUUUGACGGUAAUUACUUAGAAAGUCACGGCUAACUACGUGCCAGCAGCCGCGGUAAUACGUAGGUGGCAAGCGUUGUCCGGAUUUAUUGGGCGUAAAGCGAGUGCAGGCGGUUCAAUAAGUCUGAUGUGAAAGCCUUCGGCUCAACCGGAGAAUUGCAUCAGAAACUGUUGAACUUGAGUGCAGAAGAGGAGAGUGGAACUCCAUGUGUAGCGGUGGAAUGCGUAUAUAUAUGGAAGAACACCAGUGGCGAAGGCGGCUCUCUGGUCUGCAACUGACGCUGAGGCUCGAAAGCAUGGGUAGCGAACAGGAUUAGAUACCCUGGUAGUCCAUGCCGUAAACGAUGAGUGCUAAGUGUUGGGAGGUUUCCGCCUUUCAGUGCUGCAGCUAACGCAUUAAGCACUCCGCCUGGGGAGUACGACCGCAAGGUUGAAACUCAAAGGAAUUGACGGGGGCCCGCACAAGCGGUGGAGCAUGUGGUUUAAUUCGAAGCAACGCGAA